rnacentral:piRNA from 1 species
CAUCGAGCUGGCAAUCUAGAACCUCG